ensembl:lncRNA
GCCUCAUCUUGGUCACCUGCAUAACAACUACAUGUCUGGCUUCUUGGAAUCGAGCGGCAGUCAUCCCUUUCAUUUUGAGCAGCGCACAUUGUUUUGAUUUUACCGGCACACAAGAAAGAACACCCCGUGACAUCACAGCUGCGCUUGUCAUUUCCCGACACCAGAUCUGUCUGAUAUGAAACCAGUGAUUCAGCUUUGUCUGCAACGGACCACUGCACCUGGGGCGACCAUUUCUGUACCUUAAUCUGUUUUCUGUGCCGGGCGUGGCGGCGGCCAUCGGCACCAGACAAAACACUGCAGUCAUCACUGCCAACCCUAGACAAACGAAAACCCUCUUCACCAAAGAAAAGACCCGAGCUGUUGCUGGUUUUGUCUGGAUUUGGGAUUACUCACUUCUGGGAAGAAGAAAAAAAGAACUCAGGAUGAGCUCUUUAUACUUUAAUAUCCUGCUGCGUGUUCCUUCCAGAAAAACAAACAGAGGAGUCGAGGAGACGAGGAUGAGAGCGAACACGAAUAUAGACAAACACAAAAAAAACAUUCAGCAGGAAUUCUAUAUGGGAAGAAGUUGAUGCAGACAAAAUAUGAUAUCCAAAUAAUUGUUGUUGCUCCGUGGUUUGUACCCUGGAAAAAAGCUUUGGUGAUAGACAAGCUUAGGCUUGACUUUAAAUGACAGAAACCAAAAUAUAAGGUGUGUUUUCUGUCCUUGUUUAAAGGACAAAGCCGGUUUAAAGUAGACGUACCGUUGGUGUGGAAUGCGCUUGUGUUAAAAACCAGCAGGGGUGCUUCUGGAAUCUGUUUACCGGUUUAGAAAAGUCAUUGUUCUUGCAUUUCUACGAAGGAGACUGGAAUAGUUCCUUUGUUUGACCAUAUCCUUGAUGGGAGGGGGACAAUCCGACUCACGUCCGGCUCUGUAGGACAGAUAAAACACAGUGCUGUGCACAACAUCUGGAGCCACCUCACGCCUCAAAACCCUGUAUCGGAUUUAACUCCAGGUGUAUCACACAUCAGGGCUUUAAAGGGACCACACCAUUGAGUUUUUUUUUGGGGGGGGGGGGCAAGUUUUCCUGCAGAUCAUGUACGUUACACGUUUGCUGAUCUUUUGUUUGUUUGUUUUAAAAUACAUGCUGUUUUAGAGCUUUAGCUGUACUUAUCCUACAGUUUGAAGGCAUUAGUUUCCAUUCAUCUCUGGACAGUUUUUCCUAUUGCACAAUAAAAAAGAAAAACUUAAAAUUUUAAAUUUACAGUUAAACACAGUUGUUGGCGAAAUGGGAUAUGGGUGAUUUCUGGUUACUGAGAUCAAACAUAUAAGGACCAUUAAAACCAUUGCAGGGGAGUCCAGAUGUUUUUUUACCACCGCCUACAAAGUGUUUGGGGUAUAAGUGGCGAAGAGUCGAAUCACACGUCUUGCUUACCCAGGUGUGACAUGGCCUGGUCUCCCCUCCCUCCCAGGGUGACGGGAGACGAUGAAGACAUCCUUUAGCCGGUAACAUGCCAAGACAUUCUUGAAAGGUGAUAAAUGAGCACCCCCCCCCCCCCCCCCCCCCCCCCGUAAAGCUUCAUACCCAGGUAACAAUCUCAAAGAUUAUGGCCGCCGUUACUUCAUCUCAGGGAUCUGCACUCUGCUGAGUGCACCUUUCUGGUCACUAAUAUAAUUAACAUGUCACUGUCACACAACUCCUUUGUCGUCCGAAAAACCAAGAAGGAAUGUAUCGUUGUUUUUUUAAUAUUAUAUCUAUCUGAGUUGUUGAAAUAAAAAGAUAAAAAGAUGUUCUUGGACUUUACUGUUGGUAAAGUCCAAGUAAUAUUCACCAUUCAUGUCUCAUAAAAAGUUCCAAGUUAUUGAAUUCCAUUGAGAUUUUGUCUCCUGCACACUUGUGAAGGACAAAGGCUCGCUGUGAGCAGUUCCGUGGUUUAGGCCGGUGGAAAAAAGGGAGGUGACUCAGGGUGAGGGGGAGUGUUCUUAGGGGCGGACCUGAGGGCCCACAAGGUUUAAAUAGUGUAACAGCUUCCCCUGUCCUCCAGCCUUGUGU